CUUACUUAGAGACAGUCUGCCUUUGAGCUCUGCUGGUGACCAAAACCUAAAUUGUAGCAGACAAAACACAGUCUUUUAUCAUGAAACAACAUAAACCAGAGCAGAAAUUUAAGGUUCUUCUCUUUUGAAAACUCAGAAUGUCUUUCAAAUAUCUUACCCAUGUGUAACACAUUCUGGAAAUUUUAACCCAAUUUCAUAAUGAGUGUAGACUUGAGAACAGACAUAGUUUAAAGACCAGACAUACUUAUAAGUUAAUUAGAUCUAUGCCUCUCAGGGAUAUAGCAGUGUUCUUAUUCUACAUAUACAUGAAGAAUUUAUAUUUUCACACCAGUAGGAAGUAUACCUACAUUAAGCCUUGGCAACAUGGCCAAACUCAUCUCUACAAAAUAUCAAAAAUUAGCCGGGCAUGAUGGCUCAUACUUGUAUUCCCAGCUACUCAGCAGGCUGAGGUGAAAGGAUCUCUUGAGCCAGGGGAGGUUGAGGCUGCAGAAAGCCGUGAUUGUACCACUGCACUUCAACUUGGGUGACAGAGUGAGACCCUGUCUCAGAAGAAGAAGAAAGAGGAAAGAAGAAAGAAGGAAGAAGAAGAAAAGAAGUAUACCUGCAUAUUAUAUAGAACAAGCUGCAGUGAGGACCUGAUAGUCAAAAUUACUUGGAGGAAAAUCACAGCUCUUCUCCCCUAGAAAGUCUGCUGAGUCUCACCAGGAGAAUCUCACAGGGAGGCUGCCACGAAUUCUCUCUGCAAGGACUGUGAAACUCAGGGUCCUGGAACCUGGGGAGAUCGAGGGACAACUGUACAUCAGCCUGCUGAGAAAUGUUUUGCAGGAUUCAUGAUUGGGAUCUUCGUACUAAGCCUUUCUUGAGGGAGUGUCUCAGACUCAACCAGCCUCAAUUUUCCCAUGAAUCCUUCUUCAUUGCCUUCCUAGAUUGCUACUCCGCAUCUCAGCUGACCCCAUACAAACAAACUCCAAUAGUGUCUCCAAUCGCGUGCUGUGUUAAAUUUUAACUUUAUAACCAACCAUCAUUUGCUACUUCCAUCUAACCAAGCCAGUUUCCUUAUGAUGCACACACUUGUGUUUAGCUCACAAUUUGUUCUACAUGCUUGCUUAUUUAUUCAUUCAGCAAGUAUUUAUUGAGCCCCAACUGUGCACUAGCUGCUGUCUCAGGUGCUGGGGAGACAGGAAGAUCAAAAUAAAACCCCUGCCUUCAAGUGCCUUAUUGUUUAAGGGUCAACAGAAUAAACACAUAAGUGAAUAUAUAUCAUGUGAGGUGGUAAAAAGGGCUGGGCAGAAAAUAAAGGUUGGAAAAGGAUGGAAAGUACUGGAGGGUGGUGUGAUUUUAGGCUGGAGCGUCAGGAAAAGCAGAGAAGAAAUGACUGUUACAGAUGGAAGUGAGUGGAAUGCUCCAAGCAGAGGGAACAGCAAGUGAAAGCGCCCUGUGGUAGAAGCAUAUUUGGCACAUGUGAGGGACUGCAUAAAGGCCAAUGUGGCUGCAUGGGGGUUUGGGAGAUGUAGGGACAAGGUCAGAGAGGUAGCCAAUGUCAGCAUCAUUGCUGUUAGGACUGGGUGGGACCCCAAAAGAAGUAUUAAAUAGUACCAUCUAGUUUUUGUUCUUGAGGAGGUCACGUGUUAAUAUACUGAUUGUUUGAGGUACAACAGAGUCAAAAAGGGGAUAAUUUAUCGAGGUACAAGCCUAGGAUAUGGGUUGCUCCUGUUGCCCCUAAGUCUACCACGCCUGCACAGAUCCUGCUAGUUCUUUCUUUUUUUUUUUGAGACGGAGUCUCGCUCUGUCGCCCAGGCUGGAGUACAGUGGUGCGAUGGCGGCUCACUGCAAGCUCCGCCUUCCGGGUUCACGCCAUUCUCC
rnacentral:lncRNA from 1 species